CCAUAUUUGGCGGAACAGGAGCGGCAAAGCGGCCCAAGUUAGUAUCGGUAUAGACGAGAAAAACGACUAACUGUUACCAAAACCAGCGCCCGUGGGUGCAAAAUGUGGCCUCAUCAGCAGCCAGCGAUCGUCCGCGUCAUCCCCUGAUCCGGUGGGCAACACAUGCAGAAGAGCCAGCUCAGCACUGAAGCACAGAAGCACAACAUGGUCUGUCUUUGUUUGCCAGG